AGAAGUUUAGGUUAAACAAACCCAGGGCCUUCAAAGCCCUAAACAAGAGCACCAAGCCUCCUAACUUCUG
rnacentral:tRNA from 1 species